rnacentral:rRNA from 1 species
GACGAACGCUGGCGGCGUGCCUAAUACAUGCAAGUCGAACGCAGUGGGGACGGGUGAGUAACACGUGGGUAACCUCCCAUCAGAGGGGAUAACACUUGGAAACAGGUGCUAAACCGAUACUGAUGGAUGAACCCGCGGUGCAUUAGCUAGUUGGUGAGGUAACGGCUCACCAAGGCCACGAUGCAUAGGCGCCAUGAGGGAGUGGUCGGCCACACUGUGACGUAGACACGGCCCAGAGUCCUACGGUAGGCAGCAGUAGGGAAGCUUCGGCAAUGGACGAAAGUCUGACCGAGCAACGCCGCGGGAGUGAAGAAGGUUUUCGGAUCGUAAAACUCUGUUGUUAGAGAAGCGGUAUCUAACCAGAAAGCCACGGCUAACUACGUGCCAGAAGCCGCGGUAAUUC